AGUGAACGCUGGCGGUAGGCCUAACACAUGCAAGUCGAACGGCAGCACAGUAAGAGCUUGCUCUUACGGGUGGCGAGUGGCGGACGGGUGAGGAAUACAUCGGAAUCUACUUUUUCGUGGGGGAUAACGUAGGGAAACUUACGCUAAUACCGCAUACGACCUACGGGUGAAAGCAGGGGAUCUUCGGACCUUGCGCGAUUGAAUGAGCCGAUGUCGGAUUAGCUAGUUGGCGGGGUAAAGGCCCACCAAGGCGACGAUCCGUAGCUGGUCUGAGAGGAUGAUCAGCCACACUGGAACUGAGACACGGUCCAGACUCCUACGGGAGGCAGCAGUGGGGAAUAUUGGACAAUGGGCGCAAGCCUGAUCCAGCCAUACCGCGUGGGUGAAGAAGGCCUUCGGGUUGUAAAGCCCUUUUGUUGGGAAAGAAAAGCAGCAGGUUAAUACCCCGCCGUUCUGACGGUACCCAGAGAAUAAGCACCGGCUAACUUCGUG
rnacentral:rRNA from 1 species